rfam:Ictidomys tridecemlineatus contig057980, whole genome shotgun sequence.
GGGGAUGUGGCUCAAGCGGUAGGGCACUCGCCUAGCAUGCGUGCGGCCCGGGUUCGAUCCUCAGCAGCACCA